rnacentral:rRNA from 2 species
GUGCCUAAUACAUGCAAGUCGAGCGAAUCGAUGGGAGCUUGCUCCCUGAGAUUAGCGGCGGACGGGUGAGUAACACGUGGGCAACCUGCCUAUAAGACUGGGAUAACUUCGGGAAACCGGAGCUAAUACCGGAUACGUUCUUUUCUCGCAUGAGAGAAGAUGGAAAGACGGUUUCGGCUGUCACUUAUAGAUGGGCCCGCGGCGCAUUAGCUAGUUGGUGAGGUAAUGGCUCACCAAGGCGACGAUGCGUAGCCGACCUGAGAGGGUGAUCGGCCACACUGGGACUGAGACACGGCCCAGACUCCUACGGGAGGCAGCAGUAGGGAAUCUUCCGCCAAUGGACGAAAGUCUGACGGAGCCAACGCCGCGUGAACGAAGAAGGCCUUCGGGUCGUAAAGUUCUGUUGUUAGGGAAGAACAAGUACCAGAGUAACUGCUGGUACCUUGACGGUACCUAACCAGAAA